AAUUUCGGGUAAUUGCGGUCAGCUCUAUGCUGACUGAGGAAAGUCCAUGCUCGCACAAGCUGAGAUGCUUGUAGUGUUCGUGCCUGGCGAAAAAAUAAGCUGGGGUACCUUAAUUGGUAACGGCGAAUGAACAAACUAAGGUUUCGACUAAGUUUAAGUAAUUCUGAAAAGUGCCACAGAAACGAGUUGAUUAAGAAAUUAAUCAAAUGGAACGCGGUAAACCCCUCGAGCGGGCAACCCAAACUAUGGUAGGGGAGCUUCACAUGCGGAAAUGAACUGAAUGUGGGGGCAGACAUUGUCUGGAGAUAGAUGAUUACCCAAAUUUAAAUUUCCUGAAAUUUAUUUUGGACAAAACAUGGCUUACAGAA
rnacentral:RNase_P_RNA from 2 species